UCCCCGGUGGCUCAAUCGGCAGAGCGGGUGACUGUUAAUCACUAGGUUACAGGUUCAAGUCCUGUCCGGGGAGCCA
rnacentral:tRNA from 2 species